CAGCAGAUUGACAUAUUUUGGUCACUCCCUUUAUACCUAGGUAGUUCUGCAUAUAUUUUGGAUCUCCGACACAUGUUUUUGAUAUACCAAUGGGUCAUUACAGGUUGGGAUUGUUUUUUGUGAACUUAUAUUUUUUUCCUUUUUCUUCAGAAUAUGGUUUUCCAAUGCUAGCAGAAUUCCAUAGAUUAUAUAUAUCUUAAGAGCCCAUUACUAGCCGUUACCUCCAUGGACAAUGCUACCUGCCAAUACUAAUUCUUCACGAAUAAAUAGGGUGAACAAAAAUAUGUGCAAUCUUACCAUACAAGAUGGUUAAGAUGCCAGAUGCUCUCUCAUUUUUACCCUUACUGUUUACUUUGCUAAGCCAACUCUUCACUUUUGGUUUUUCCUAAAAGGAAUCUGGCAGAUCAUGAUGUUUAAAUUUCUACCACAAAACGUCAGGUGCUAAUUCUCUCUUCUCUUACACCGUAUUACUUUCCUUUUUUACACAAUAAUUAUCUGCUUGCUACCCUCUUAUUGUUUUCCAUCAUCUCCUCUUCUAACACUUGCACUCGAGAAUGCCUCUAAAGCCUCACAUCACUCUUCCAUCAGUUGUACCAAGAAGACACAUCAUACACAUGCACGCAAUGAGUCAUCUCAUGUAUUCUACAAAUCCAAAAUCAUGGAGAACUAUCAGAAGCAAAUUUCAGGGAGAAAACAUCAGCAACCAACUGCCCGUGAACAUCACAUUAUCACUGUUGGCUACAUCAAAAAGGGUGAAUGCCACCUCCAAGCCAUUUUCAAGAACGAGGACCCCAGCAAUUUUCAUGACACAUGGCUCAUUACUACAUAUACUAUACGAAGUGAUUGCAUUGAAUAUAAUUUCUGUACCCUAUGUACUUCUUAAAUUUUCGGUCUCAACUUAACACCCCUGUAUUUUUGCACUACUAACAUACUAUGGUUCUAUACAAAUAUCAGGGUAUUUCAUUCUUUGUUUCA
rnacentral:lncRNA from 1 species